UAGGGAAUCUUCCGCAAUGGGCGAAAGCUUGACGGAGCAACGCCGCGUGAGUGAUGAAGGUCUUCGGAUCGUAAAACUCUGUUAUUAGGGAAGAACAAAUGUGUAAGUAACUAUGCACGUCUUGACGGUACCUAAUCAGAAAGCCACGGCUAACUACGUGCCAGCAGCCGCGGUAAUACGUAGGUGGCAAGCGUUAUCCGGAAUUAUUGGGCGUAAAGCGCGCGUAGGCGGUUUUUUAAGUCUGAUGUGAAAGCCCACGGCUCAACCGUGGAGGGUGAUUGGAAACUGGAAAACUUGAGUGCAGAAGAGGAAAGUGGAAUUCCAUGUGUAGCGGUGAAAUGCGCAGAGAUAUGGAGGAACACCAGUGGCGAAGGCGACUUUCUGGUCUGUAACUGACGCUGAUGUGCGAAAGCGUGGGGAUCAAACAGG
rnacentral:rRNA from 1 species